GGCCUCGUAGCUCAGCUGGUAGAGCAUGCGCGUACAAAGCGUAGGCGGCGUCCAAGCGUGGGUUCGAAUCCCACCGAGGUUA
rfam:Echinostoma caproni strain Egypt genome assembly, scaffold: ECPE_scaffold0010165